AAAGGUUUAAGUUAACUAAACUUUAAGCCUUCAAAGCUUACUACAUGGGUUUUAACCCCAUAAUCUUUA
rnacentral:tRNA from 1 species